GAUGAACGCUGGCGGCGUGCCUAAUACAUGCAAGUCGAGCGAACAGAUAAGGAGCUUGCUCCUUUGACGUUAGCGGCGGACGGGUGAGUAACACGUGGGUAACCUACCUAUAAGACUGGAAUAACUCCGGGAAACCGGGGCUAAUGCCGGAUAACAUGUUGAACCGCAUGGUUCUACAGUGAAAGGCGGCUUUGCUGUCACUUAUAGAUGGACCCGCGCCGUAUUAGCUAGUUGGUGAGGUAACGGCUCACCAAGGCACGAUACGUAGCCGACCUGAGAGGGUGAUCGGCCACACUGGAACUGAGACACGGUCCAGACUCCUACGGGAGGCAGCAGUAGGGAAUCUUCCGCAAUGGGCGAAAGCCUGACGGAGCAACGCCGCGUGAGUGAUGAAGGUCUUCGGAUCGUAAAACUCUGUUAUUAGGGAAGAACAAAUGCGUAAGUAACUGUGCGCGUCUUGACGGUACCUAAUCAGAAAGCCACGGCUAACUACGUG
rnacentral:rRNA from 1 species